GCAAGUCGGGGGAUCCCAGCAAUGGGGGAACCGGCGUAAGGGGCAGUAAUGUGUGGGUACCUACCGAGGGGUUCGGGAUAGCCAUCAGAGAUGGUGGGUAAUACCGGAUGACGUCGUGAGACCAAAGAUUUAUCGCCCUUCGAGGGGCCCACAUGAUAUUAGCUAGUUGGUGAGGUAAUGGCUCACCAAGGCUAAGAUGUCUAGCGGGUAUGAGAGUACGACCCGCGCCACUCGCACUGAGACACUGGCGAGACACCUACGGGUGGCUGCAGUCGAGGAUCUUCGGCAAUGGGCGCAAGCCUGACCGAGCGACGCCGCGUGAGCGAUGAAGGCCUUCGGGUUGUAAAGCUCUUUAGUGGGGGAGAAAAGCCCGCGAGGGUGUGAUCUAUCCCAAAAAUAAGCACGGGCUAAGUUCGUGCCAGCAGCCGCGGUAAGACGAACCGUGCGAACGUUGUUCGGAAUCACUGGGCUUAAAGGGCGCGUAGGCGGGCUGUCCAGUCUGGGGUGAAAUCCCGCGGCUCAACCGUGGAACUGCCUCAGAUACUGACGGCCUCGAGGGAGAUAGGGGCAUGCGGAACUGUAGGUGGAGCGGUGAAAUGCGUUGAUAUCUACAGGAACUCCGGUGGCGAAGGCGGCGUGCUGGAUCUCUUCUGACGCUGAGGCGCGAAAGCUAGGGGAGCAAACGGGAUUAGAUACCCCGGUAGUCCUAGCCCUAAACGAUGGGUACUAGAUAGUAGGCUAGAUAUGGGCUUACUGUCGAAGCUAAAGUGCUAAGUACCCCGCCUGGGGGAGUAUGGUCGCAAGGCUGAAACUCAAAGGAAUUUGACGGGGGCUCACACAAGCGGUGGAGCAUGUGGCUUAAUUCGAGGCUACGCGAAAGAACCUUAUCCCAGACUUGACAUGUGCGAAAAGCGCUAGGUAGUAGGAGCCCGGAAACGGUGAC
rnacentral:rRNA from 1 species